rnacentral:rRNA from 1 species
GUCCACGCCGUAAACGAUGUCGACUAGCCGUUGGGGAACUUGAUUUCCCAGUGGCGUAGCUAACGCGCUAAGUCGACCGCCUGGGGAGUACGGCCGCAAGGUUAAAACUCAAAUGAAUUGACGGGGACCCCGCACAAGCGGUGGAGUAUGUGGUUUAAUUCGACGCAACGCGAAGAACCUUACCUGCUCUUGACAUGUCGAGAACUUUCCAGAGAUGGAUUGGUGCCUUCGGGAACUCGAACACAGGUGCUGCAUGGCUGUCGU